AACGAACGCUGGCGGCAUGCCUAACACAUGCAAGUCGAACGAUUGCCUUCGGGUGAUAGUGGCGCACGGGUGCGUAACGCGUGGGAAUCUGCCCUUAGGUUCGGAAUAACAGCUGGAAACGGCUGCUAAUACCGGAUGAUAUCGCGAGAUCAAAGAUUUAUCGCCUGAGGAUGAGCCCGCGUUGGAUUAGGUAGUUGGUGGGGUAAAGGCCUACCAAGCCGACGAUCCAUAGCUGGUCUGAGAGGAUGAUCAGCCACACUGGGACUGAGACACGGCCCAGACUCCUACGGGAGGCAGCAGUGGGGAAUAUUGGACAAUGGGCGCAAGCCUGAUCCAGCAAGGCCGCGUGAGUGAUGAAGGCCCUAGGGUUGUAAAGCUCUUUUACCCGGGAAGAUAAUGACUGUACCGGGAGAAUAAGCCCCGGCUAACUCCGU
rnacentral:rRNA from 1 species